rfam:Starkeya novella DSM 506, complete genome.
CUCCGGGCUAUCCCACCCCACCGUGGGACGUCCAUCUGGAAGGAUGGCUAAA